UUUCCGUAGGUGGACCUGCGGAAGGAUCAUUAAAGAAUUGCCCCGUCUUCUCGGAGAUGGGUUCUAUUCCACACCGUGUUUACAUACCUUUGUUGCUUUGGCGGGCGGCCGCUUCGGCGUCGGCUCCGGCUGACUGCGCCCGCCAGAGGACCACAACCCUUUUGUUUAGUGAUGUCUGAGUACUAUAUAAUAGUUAAAACUUUCAACAACGGAUCUCUUGGUUCUG
rnacentral:misc_RNA from 1 species